rnacentral:tRNA from 1 species
GAGGGUAGAGCUCAAUGGUAGAGUGCAUGCUUAGCAUGCACAAGGUCCUGGGUUCAAUCCCCUGGUACCUCCA